rnacentral:rRNA from 1 species
GACGAACGCUGGCGGCGUGCCUAAUACAUGCAAGUAGAACGCUGAAGAGAGGAGCUUGCUCUUCUUGGAUGAGUUGCGAACGGGUGAGUAACGCGUAGGUAACCUGCCUUGUAGCGGGGGAUAACUAUUGGAAACGAUAGCUAAUACCGCAUAACAAUGGAUGACACAUGUCAUUUAUUUGAAAGGGGCAAUUGUUCCACUACAAGAUGGACCUGCGUUGUAUUAGCUAGUAGGUGAGGUAAUGGCUCACCUAGGCGACGAUACAUAGCCGACCUGGGAGGGUGAUCGGCCACACUGGGACUGAGACACGGCCCAGACUCCUACGGGAGGCAGCAGUAGGGAAUCCUCGGCAAUGGGGGCAACCCUGACCGAGCAACGCCGCGUGAGUGAAGAAGGUUUUCGGAUCGUAAAGCUCUGUUGUAAGUCAAGAACGGGUGUGAGAGUGGAAAGUUCACACUGUGACGGUAGCUUACCAGAAAGAGACGGCUAACUACGUG